CUCAUUGAUUACCUGAUGCUCAAAGUCUCCCAGCAGCCCAGGGGCCUUCACGAAUUCCACUCGAACCCAUCCAACAAGAGAUCCGUGUGAAAGUGGAGAAGAAUCCUGAGCUGGGUUUCAGUAUAUCAGGAGGAGUCGGAGGCCGGGGAAACCCCUUUCGUCCUGAUGACAAUGGUAUAUUUGUAACAAGGGUUCAACCUGAGGGACCAGCAUCAAAAAUUCUUCAGCCUGGGGAUAAA